GUAACGGCGAGUGAAGCGGUAACAGCUCAAAUUUGAAAUCUGGCUCCUCGGGGCCCGAAUUGUAAUUUGUAGAAGAUGCUUUGGGUCUGGGCCUGGCCUAAGUUCCUUGGAACAGGACGUCGUAGAGGGUGAGAAUCCCGUAUGCGGCUGGCGCCCGUGCCCGUGUAAAGCUCUUUCAACGAGUCGAGUUGUUUGGGAAUGCAGCUCUAAAUGGGUGGUAAAUUUCAUCUAAAGCUAAAUAUUGGCCAGAGACCGAUAGCGCACAAGUAGAGUGAUCGAAAGAUGAAAAGCACUUUGGAAAGAGAGUUAAACAGUACGUGAAAUUGUUGAAAGGGAAGCGCUGGCAACCAGACUUGGGCGCUGUUGAUCCGCUAGGGUUCUCUCUAGGGCACUCGGCAGUGCGCAGGCCAGCAUCGGUUUGGGGGGUUGGAGAAUGGCUGGUGGAAUGUGGCUGUCUUUGGGCAGUGUUAUAGCCACCGGUGGCAUGCAGCCUCCCCGGACCGAGGACCGCGCUUCGGCUAGGAUGCUGGCGUAAUGGUUGUCAGCGACCCGUCUUGAAACACGGACCAAGGAGUCUAACAUCUAUGCGAGUGUUUGGGUGUUAAACCCAUACGCGGAAUGAAAGUGAACGUAGGUGAGAACCCGCAAGGGUGCAUCAUCGACCGAUCCUGAUGUCUUCGGAUGGAUUUGAGUAAGAGCAUA
rnacentral:rRNA from 1 species